rnacentral:rRNA from 1 species
CUCCUUUGACGUUAGCGGCGGACGGGUGAGUAACACGUGGGUAACCUACCUAUAAGACUGGGAUAACUUCGGGAAACCGGAGCUAAUACCGGAUAAUAUUUCGAACCGCAUGGUUCGAUAGUGAAAGGUGGUUUUGCUAUCACUUAUAGAUGGACCCGCGCCGUAUUAGCUAGUUGGUAAGGUAACGGCUUACCAAGGCGACGAUACGUAGCCGACCUGAGAGGGUGAUCGGCCACACUGGAACUGAGACACGGUCCAGACUCCCUACGGGAGGCAGCAGCU